UACGGGGGGGGCAAGCGUUGUUCGGAAUUACUGGGCGUAAAGCGUGCGCAGGCGGUUCGUGAUGUCUGGUGUGAAAGCCCCGGGCUUAACCUGGGAAUUGCAUUGGAAACUAGCGGGCUGGAGUGUGGCAGAGGGGGGUGGAAUUCCACGUGUAGCAGUGAAAUGCGUAGAGAUGUGGAGGAACACCGAUGGCGAAGGCAGCCCCCUGGGCUAACACUGACGCUCAUGCACGAAAGCGUGGGGAGCAAACAGG
rnacentral:rRNA from 1 species